rnacentral:rRNA from 1 species
UGGGGAAUAUUGGACAAUGGGCGAAAGCCUGAUCCAGCCAUGCCGCGUGAGUGACGAAGGCCUUAGGGUUGUAAAACUCUUUCGUCGGGGACGAUAAUGACGGUACCCGAAGAAGAAGCUCCGGCUAACUUCGUGCCAGCAGCCGCGGUAAUACGAAGGGAGCUAGCGUUGUUCGGAAUCACUGGGCGUAAAGCGCACGUAGGCGGAUAGUUAAGUCAGGGGUGAAAUCCUGGGGCUCAACCCCAGAACUGCCUUUGAUACUGGCUGUCUCGAGGUCGAGAGAGGUUGGUGGAAUUCCUAGUGUAGAGGUGAAAUUCGUAGAUAUUAGGAAGAACACCGGUGGCGAAGGCGGCCCACUGGAUCGGUACUGACGCUGAGGUGCGAAAGCGUGGGGAGCAAACAGGAUUAGAUACCCGAGUAGUCCCUGAGCGGGCUGGCAAGGCGCAU